GCUAUACAUGCAGUCGGACGGGAUCCGGGGGUAGCUUGCUACCUUCGGUGAGAGUGGCGCACGGGUGCGUAACGCGUGAGCAACCUACCCAUAUCAGGGGGAUAGCCCGGAGAAAUCCGGAUUAACACCGCAUGCAACCAGGGGACGGCAUCGUCCUUUGGUUAAAUAUUCAUAGGAUAUGGAUGGGCUCGCGUGACAUUAGCUAGUUGGUGGGGUAACGGCCCACCAAGGCGACAAUGUCUAGGGGCUCUGAGAGGAGAAUCCCCCACACUGGUACUGAGACACGGACCAGACUCCUACGGGAGGCAGCAGUAAGGAAUAUUGGUCAAUGGGGGCAACCCUGAACCAGCCAUGCCGCGUGCAGGACGACUGCCCUAUGGGUUGUAAACUGCUUUUGUCGGGGAAUAAACCCCACUACGUGUAGUGGGCUGAAUGUACCCGAAGAAUAAGGAUCGGCUAACUCCGUGCCAGCAGCCGCGGUAAUACGGAGGAUCCGAGCGUUAUCCGGAUUUAUUGGGUUUAAAGGGUGCGUAGGCGGCACUUUAAGUCAGGGGUGAAAGACGGCAGCUCAACUGUCGCAGUGCCCUUGAUACUGAAGUGCUUGAAUGCGGUUGAAGACGGCGGAAUGAGACAAGUAGCGGUGAAAUGCAUAGAUAUGUCUCAGAACACCGAUGGCGAAGGCAGCUGUCUAAGCCGUUAUUGACGCUAAUGCACGAAAGCGUGGGGAUC
rnacentral:rRNA from 1 species